rnacentral:rRNA from 1 species
UACAGAGGUCUCAAGCGUUGUUCGGAUUCAUUGGGCGUAAAGGGUGCGUAGGUGGCGCCGUAAGUCAGGUGUGAAAUCUCGGGGCUUAACUCCGAAACUGCAUUCGAUACUGCCGUGCUUGAGGACUGGAGAGGAGACUGGAAUUUACGGUGUAGCGGUGAAAUGCGUAGAUAUCGUAAGGAAGACCAGUGGCGAAGGCGGGUCUCUGGACAGUUCCUGACGCUGAGGCACGAAGGUCAGGGGAGCAAACGGG